rnacentral:rRNA from 1 species
UACGAAGGGGGCUAGCGUUGCUCGGAAUCACUGGGCGUAAAGCGCACGUAGGCGGAUCUUUAAGUCAGGGGUGAAAUCCCAAGGCUCAACCUUGGAACUGCCUUUGAUACUGGGGAUCUCGAGUCCGGAAGAGGUUGGUGGAACUCCGAGUGUAGAGGUGAAAUUCGUAGAUAUUCGCAAGAACACCAGUGGCGAAGGCGGCUUACUGGUCCGGUUCUGACGCUGAGGCGCGAAAGCGUGGGGAGCAAACAGG